rnacentral:rRNA from 1 species
UAAGUAAGCGGAGGAUGAGAAACUAAAUAGGAUUCCCUUAGUAAUGGCGAAUGAACAGGGAAAAGCUCAACGUGGAAAUUGUAGCUUCUGGCUCUGAAUUGUAGUUUCAAGAUGCAUUGCUAAUGGGGGCGUGGAUGUAAGCCUCUUGGAAAAGAGAAUCAUUGAGGGUGAGAAUCCUGUUUGUCAUCUGCGGUCCUCCAUGCACAGCAUGCUUUCUAAGAGUCACGUUCCUCGGGAUUGGAGCGCAAACUGGGUGGUAAAUUUCAUCUCAAGCUAAAUAUGGGUUUGAGACCGAUAGCAAACAAGUACCAUGAGGGAAAGAUGAAAAGGACUUUGAAAAGAGAGUUAAAAGUGCCUGAACUUGCUGAAAGGAAAGCGGAUGGAACCAGUCCUGCUUGGUGAGAUUGUUGUGCGCCAAAGCGAUUGCUCGCAACAUCAGCGCAAAGCGGUGCUGUGAGUCUUGAGCUGGCCGUGCGCGAUGCUUCUUGUCUUGUGCGUCAUCAACGUUUUGCAGGUGAGGACAACUCUUGAUACAUGGUAGCUUGCCUCUGGGCGAGUGAAAUAUGUCUUGUAGAACUCACCUGCAGAAUGUAUCUCAAUGUGAGGUUGCGUUGCUGUGUGUCUGGGCACCAGGAGCGCUGCAUGCUUGCAAUUCUCCCUUGCUCCCUCAGCGCUCCCUUGCAACUACAUGGUGACCAAAUGGGUUCCAUUCGACCCG